rnacentral:rRNA from 1 species
UACGAAGGGUGCAAGCGUUACUCGGAAUUACUGGGCGUAAAGCGUGCGUAGGUGGUGAGUUAAGUCUGUCGUGAAAGCCCCGGGCUCAACCUGGGAAUGGCGAUGGAUACUGGCUCGCUAGAGUGCGGUAGAGGAGAGUGGAAUUCCCGGUGUAGCAGUGAAAUGCGUAGAGAUCGGGAGGAACAUCAGUUGCGAAGGCGGCUCUCUGGACCAGCACUGACGACUGAGGCACGGAAAGCGUGGGGAGCAAACAGG